rnacentral:rRNA from 1 species
AUUAAUAAGGUCUUUUAAAAAAAAUUAUGCUGUUAUCCCUAAGGUAAUUAAUUUUAAUAAUUUAAAUUUUAAGAUUAAAUAAUCAUUAAUUAAUGUUUUUUAUAAAAAAAAUUUUUUAAAUUUUUAAAUUACCCCAAUUAAAUUUAUAUAUUAAAUUAAAUAAAAUAAUAAUAAUUUUUAUUUAAAAUAUAAAUUAAAUUCUAUAGGGUCUUGUCGUCUUUUAAAUAUAUUUAAGUUUUUUAACUUAAAUAAAAAUUUAAAUUUUAUUUAAUUGAAACAGUUUAUAUUUCAUUUAAUCAUUCAUUCUAGUUUUUAAUUAAAAAACAAAUUAUUAUGCUACCUUUGUACAGUUAUAAUUCUGCAGCCAU